AUGGAAACACACCUAGUUCACAAACACUGAAUUCAUUCAAGGACAUCGUAUUAUACAACCAAUGUCAUACGUCUACCAGUAGGCCCCCUUGGGCAAGAUGGCUAAUGCUUGUCAAUGUAUGUGAAGUUGCUUUGGAUGAAAGUAAUUGUAAUGUUCAAUAUGAAAUCCAUAUGAAGAUCUUCAUUUUAAACAUGAAGCCGAAUAACUUUCCCAUUCGGUAAAACAACCUUCCCUCAGUCUCCAGUGACCCCCUAUCAUUAUCCCUGAUGAACCCCUAUCAUUAUCCCUGAUGAACCCCUAUCAUUACCCCUGAUGAACCCCUAUCAUUAUCCCUGAUGAACCCCUAUCAUUAUCCCUGAUGAACCCCUAUUAUUAUCCCUGAUGAGCCCCUAUCGUUAUCCCUGAUGAACCCCUAUCGUUAUCCCUGAUGAGCCCCUAUCGUUAUCCCUGAUGAACCCCUAUCGUUAUCCCUGAUGAACCCCUAUCGUUAUCCCUGAUGAACCCCUAUCAUUAUCCCUGAUGAACCCCUAUCAUUAUCCCUGAUGAACCCCUAUCAUUAUCCCUGAUGUACUUCCAGAACUGCUCUACUACGGAGGAUGGCUUAGAGAGGUCGCGGAGAGACAUCUCCCUGUCCCAUACGGUAUCCUAUGGACCAAUCAGACGACUGCUGGGAGAGAGCGACCAACCAAACAUCAACGCUGGAGCCUUGCCCUCUGUAGGAACCUUGGUCCUGGGGGCCUCUUGGUGGCGGUGCUGCUGGUCACCGGGUCGUUGGGCCGGCUGUGGCUCCGGUCCAGGCGGUCCUACCCGGCCCGGGAGGCCCAGCUCACACUGUCCAACAUCCACCACAUCUCAGAGGUGGCCUCCUGAGUGGGGCUAUGCAUGCUGGGAGCUCAUGCAAUCAUGCACGCACGCACGCACGCACACACAAACUGAGUCACAUGAACAUAUGUGUAAUUAUACACACAUUCACACAAACCAUACUUAUAUAUAUACACACACACAGCCACCUAUACCCAUACACAGUUACUCAAUACCAUUUUGUAUGUAAAUAGUGUGUGGAAUGCAAAAGAAAUGUAACAGAAAUAUGUCUCUCUGUGUGCCCAAAGCAAAUUUCUCUUGUGAGAGAGACAAUAAAAUAUUUACGUACUUAAUUUCUUUGCAUUCAAAUAAACAAUGAAAACAUUGCCUAUACGCAAGAACUUAUUGUUUUUUGUCACAAAACAUGGGCUAAUAAAGAUAUAGUUUCUGACUUU